UAACCUGAAUGGUCUUAAAUGGCGGGAUGACUAAAAUGCUCUAAAAUGUUAUCAUUUUAUUGUAUUAGAAUGAUUUAUUACUAACGUUAUUUUCUAUAUAAACUGAACUAAUACGAUGAAAGAGUUUUAUCAAACAUUUUUCAUGUUUUAUUUUUGAAAGAAUUCUGAUAUAAAUGAAACGUGUUUGAAUUCCUAUUCUGUCAUUUCAAAGAUGAAUUAUUUUUAUUUUUGUAUCAAUAACACAUUCAUAUUAUGGUAAUGAAAUAAAAAAUAAUAAGAUGGAAGACAGAAGUCGAUGUUGUCCAUGCAAAGCUUCUUGUGUAGAAAACUUUAAGAAAGUUGUUGAACUUAAACAAUCUGGACUUACCAUUUACGUUUACGCAAAAAGAGAUAAACAGAAUGUACAAAACACUGCGGGCAUUUAUGUUACAUACUAUUUUAGCUGUGUAGCUAGACUAUAUUCCGGAUUUGUAAUGUAGUUUAAAUAGCAUAUUUAUAAUUUAAGAAAGUAAUACAUUGUAUAAAAUUUAAUGUAUUCUACUUAGGUAUACCUAUGUACGAAUUAUAAAGUACAUGUACAUAAAUGAAGAUAAAAACAAAAAUAAAAUAUUGUUUAGUCUAAGUAACAAUAGCUUUACAUGUUAGAUUGGUGUCUAAAUACUUAUAAAUUGAAAAUAGUUCAUAACUGUAAAUCAUAGAUACUUAGGUAUAACUAAUAACUGAACAAAAAAUUGGUCUGCAUGAAUGUAAACCCGAAUUUACUUUUUGCUAAUUUCUAAAAAAAUAUUCUUGGUAAAAAUAAAAAAAGAAUCGAAUAAAAUUUGAAAUUAAAAUUAAGAAAAGUUACGAAAAAUAUUACUAAGUAUAGAUUUUCUUAUAAGAUACAUGUUGUGUACCUAAUAAUAUAUUAUGUAAGUAUUACACAAUUGAAUUAUGUUAGGGCCUUGUAGUGCCAAACUACAUUUAAAAUAUUAAUUCUUAAUUAUAAGUCAUAGAUUAGAUAGGUAUAUUCAAAAUUAAAAUUAUUUAGACUAAGACGUGAAGCGACACUUUAGUGUUAAAUACCCUUAAAUAUUUGUAAAUAAAUCCAGAAAUGGAUUUUAUCAUAUACCUACUAUGUACCUUAAUAAGUAGGUUUCUUGUAAUGUAUUACGUAGACAUAUUAUACGCAUUACGUAUCUAAUAUUUAAAAUAAUGUAUACUAGGGCUUUGUGGUGCCAAACUACUUACAAAUACCUAUAAUUCACAUUCUGUAAAUCCCUAAUUAAUUAUAAGUCAUAUACAGCGUGAAGUUUACAUAACUACUUUCCCGCACCUGUCUCAAUAUUAAAGAAAUACAAAAAUAUAAACCUUAAUACAUAUAAAAUAAAAGGUAAAAUGGAAUAUUUUUGGAUAAUGUUAUUAUUAACUAAGUAAUCAACAGCUCCGUGUGUUUAAUAUUCGUUGAUUGAUUACCAAGUACUUUAAGAACAACUUAGUCGCCCGUACAAUAAAUUUUUCGGAUUACUUUUUUUUUGAGAUUGUUUUCGAGCUAUUAUAUUAGUUUCAACAGCCUGUAAAUGGCCAAUGCUAACUAAAAGCCUCUUCUCAUACAGUAAAUUUGAGCAUUAUUCACCACGCUUGCUCAAUACGUGUUGUCGAUUAUAGAACCGUUUGUCAGUGGUGUCUAGUAAUCUUAGAAAAUACAUAUAACUUGGAAAAUGACAAAUUUGUUCCUUGCCGUUGGCAUGCGAGUUAUUAUAUCAGAACUAUUAAAAAAUAGAUUGAUUUCAAUAACGUUUAAGACCCUGGCAGACUACGGCUCAAUCGCGGCCAACCUGCAGCAAAACCGUGGCGGUUUUUAACCGCGUUGCAUUUCCCUGUAUUAAAAUUAUUCGCAUGACAAAGCCACAACUGCGACCACCUGUAUUGGGAGUCGGAAUUUCGACCGUGGCCUAUGAUCUAUUGUAGGUAUUAUCAAAAUAAAACCUUUUAGCUGCGGGAGGUCAGUCAUGUUAAACUCACGCUAUACAAAACUAUGAAUAAGAUCUCGAUGUGCAUUUUUGGAGUUUAAACCCGAAUUUAAUGUUUACUUAUUUCUACUGUCAUAUUUGUUAUGGCCAACACUUUCCUAUCUUUGUGUAACAUUCUGAUAUUUGGUAUUAAAUGAAUUUGAAAUUGCAAUAA